UAUGCCUAUACUGCAAGUCGAGCGGACAGAAGGGAGCUUGCUCCCGGAUGUUAGCGGCGGACGGGUGAGUAACACGUGGGUAACCUGCCUGUAAGACUGGGAUAACUCCGGGAAACCGGAGCUAAUACCGGAUAGUUCCUUGAACCGCAUGGUUCAAGGAUGAAAGACGGUUUCGGCUGUCACUUACAGAUGGACCCGCGGCGCAUUAGCUAGUUGGUGGGGUAAUGGCUCACCAAGGCGACGAUGCGUAGCCGACCUGAGAGGGUGAUCGGCCACACUGGGACUGAGACACGGCCCAGACUCCUACGGGAGGCAGCAGUAGGGAAUCUUCCGCAAUGGACGAAAGUCUGACGGAGCAACGCCGCGUGAGUGAUGAAGGUUUUCGGAUCGUAAAGCUCUGUUGUUAGGGAAGAACAAGUGCGAGAGUAACUGCUCGCACCUUGACGGUACCUAACCAGAAAGCCACGGCUAACUACGUGCCAGCAGCCGCGGUAAUACGUAGGUGGCAAGCGUUGUCCGGAAUUAUUGGGCGUAAAGGGCUCGCAGGCGGUUUCUUAAGUCUGAUGUGAAAGCCCCCGGCUCAACCGGGGAGGGUCAUUGGAAACUGGGAAACUUGAGUGCAGAAGAGGAGAGUGGAAUUCCACGUGUAGCGGUGAAAUGCGUAGAGAUGUGGAGGAACACCAGUGGCGAAGGCGACUCUCUGGUCUGUAACUGACGCUGAGGAGCGAAAGCGUGGGGAGCGAACAGGAUUAGAUACCCUGGUAGUCCACGCCGUAAACGAUGAGUGCUAAGUGUUAGGGGGUUUCCGCCCCUUAGUGCUGCAGCUAACGCAUUAAGCACUCCGCCUGGGGAGUACGGUCGCAAGACUGAAACUCAAAGGAAUUGACGGGGGCCCGCACAAGCGGUGGAGCAUGUGGUUUAAUUCGAAGCAACGCGAAGAACCUUACCAGGUCUUGACAUCCUCUGACAACCCUAGAGAUAGGGCUUUCCCUUCGGGGACAGAGUGACAGGUGGUGCAUGGUUGUCGUCAGCUCGUGUCGUGAGAUGUUGGGUUAAGUCCCGCAACGAGCGCAACCCUUGAUCUUAUUUGCCAGCAUUCAGUUGGGCACUC
rnacentral:rRNA from 1 species